GAGCUGAGUUGGGGAGGAGAUUCGUCAUUGAAGGCGGGGCUACGUCCAUCCAGGCGUUUUGCACAGCUGAAUGGUUGCCAUGGAGAUUCAAGGAUUUCUCAAACAUGCAU